rnacentral:lncRNA from 1 species
CUGCAAAAAAUCAUGGUCCCAAAUUGAAGGUUGGUAGUUUGCUGAUCUCCUAUCAACUGUCAAAUUAUCAUAUUUGGCGCUGACAAGGCAUUGGACUGGCUUAUUUUUGGCCAUGAUUCUGAUGGCUGCUUUAUUUGUUGUAAGAGGAAGACAUUUGAAACCAUUUACAGAGGUAACCAAGGUUGAGGGAUUAAUGCAAGAAGACAUUGGAUAUACAGAUGUUGUGUAAGCUAGCUUACUGUCAAAUUAUAUAUAUAUAUAGGCAGAGGAGAAGUUCAAGUGAUUUAUUUUUCGUGCUCAUUUUUUCUGAGUUUUGAAAGCGUUUAAUUUUUAAGUCUUAAUAGUACAAAGGUAUUUUAUUCAUUUGGGGGAAAAAAAAAGGAGUACAUCAUACUGUGCGAACGAGGUCAUUAUUGUACCAGAAGACACAUACAUCAUCCAUAUAUUCGGAUGAAUGUUGUAUAAUCUUUAUUUAUUUAUCUUUUUUUUUUCCUGCAUACAAAUUUUUUAAAGAGUCUUUCAAUAAACUACACAAUAAAUGCACGCAGAAAUGACAAGAAAUUCAUAAAUUCAAUUCUACUAAUAAAAGUUCUAUUUAUUACAUUAAAAUCUUGUUUUAUGUAGAAAUAAGAAUAUACAAAGUAAAUUUAAGGGAAAAAAAAGGCAUACAAAGUUGCAAACAAUAUCUUAAUGUUGAGCACUAACAUCAAAAUUCUAUCUGUUACAGUUAUAAAGUACUUUUGCGGAAAACAAAUUAAUAAAUUUCAAAGUGAUUAUCAACAAAAAGUUGAUUGGAGAUAAUGGAUUUUAAUAUAUUGUAGAUUGUGAUCAUUUGUAAUAAUUUCAAAAAACUUCCAUUUAACAGCGGUUGGUGAAUGGGUGUUGUAAAAUAAUUUUAAUAUUUGACAACAAGCGAAAGAAUGUUGUUAAAAACUCUUCAAUAGAUGUUCAAUCUCACAACGUUCUACAAAAGCGCGUUGUGAAAAAAUUCUAAUAAUUGACAACUAGUGUAAAAUCGUUAUAAAUUUUUAAUCCCAUUCAAUCCAUGAAUUAGUAAAAUUAAUCUAAAUUCAAUUCAUAAUUCUGCAGAUUAGAAGUGGAUUUGAUACAAUCCAUAUUCAUUCCACUUUUGCGAAUUCGAUACGGAUUUAAAAAAAAAUUCUUUCUAUUCAAUUCAUAAAAUAAUUAAAUAAAAAUUUUAAUUAUAAAAAUAAUUUUACUGCAUGCCAAUCAAAUUCAAAUUUAAACAAGAUCUAAAUAAAUCAAUAGUUUAAAUACGGGUUUAGGAAUGCUAUGUUAAUAGGGUCUUUAUACCGCCACCCCAACAUCUAUUAAAUCAAUCAACAUACGUUUUGAAACAAAUAUAAUCCGGAAGCCAUAUACCAUUUCAGCUUUACUCCCUAUUCUCUCUUAAAUAAAACUAUGAAAACACUGGAGUAAUUGGUUUCAGCUUCGGUGUAGGAUAGGUUGGAGGUGAUGACACGCGACGACAGCUACUGAAAGACUAUUCGUUUUUUAAGAUGCCAUUCAAAGUUUCGAACUUUAGCACACCAAAAUAAAAAAUCCUGAUGUUUCUGGAUCAGUGGAUGAAAAUCAACUUAAGUUUUAGAAUUAAAUCAAUACAAAAGUUGAAAUUUGAAAGCUUAUAUAAUUAAUUGUUGUCAACGUCCACCCUAACUAGAUUUUAACCUAUUUACUAGUAGUAUAACAUUUUUAAAUUUUAAAUUCUUUAAAUUAUAUACACACACGGAUUUGCUGAUUUUCAGGGAUUUGGAGAAGCAAGUCCAUUUCAUCAAUUGUCGAUUUUAAAAUUUUUCAAUCCAUCUAAUCUGUCAAUUCAGCUCUUCUGCUCGUCUUUUGUAUGUUUCAUCCUGUACACGCACAGCAUUUUGUUUUUAGCUAUUCAUGGUGCCAAUUUGAAAUGAACAAAGGAAAUUAAUAUGUAAUAAUAAUAAUAUUGAAUACCGUAUAGUUGCUAUUCAAUGACUGCAAAAAAUCAUGGUCCCAAAUUGAAGGUUGGUAGUUUGCUGAUCUCCUAUCAACUGUCAAAUUAUCAUAUUUGGCGCUGACAAGGCAUUGGACCGGCUUAUUUUUUGCCAUGAUUCUGAUGGCUGCUUUAUUUGUUGCAAGAGGAAGACAUUUGAAACCAUUUACAGAGGUAACCAAGGUUAAGGGAUUAAUGGAAGAAGACAUUGGAUAUACAGAUGUAGUGUAAGCUAGCUUACAGUUAUACUUGGCAAAGAUUCUCAAAUUAUUCUAUGGUUUGUGGUGAUGUUCGAGGUUAUAUAUAGGCAGAGGAGAAGUUCAUGUGAUUUAUUUUUCUCACUCAUUUUUUCUGAGGUUUGAAAGCGUUUAAUUUUUAAGUUUAAUAGUACAAAGGUGUUUUAUUCAUUUGGGGGGACCCACAAAGGAGUACAUCAUACUGUGCGAACGAGGUCAGUAUUGUGCCAGAAGACACAUACAUCAUCCAUACAUUCGGAUGAAUGUUGUAUAAUCUUUAUUUAUUUAUCUUUUUUUUUCCUGCCUACAAAUUUUUUAAAGAGUCUUUCAAUAAACUACACAAUAAAUGCACGCAGAAAUGACAAGAAAUUCAUAAAUUCAAUUCUACUAAUAAAAAUUCUAUUUAUUACAUUAAAAUCUUAUUUUAUGUAGAAAUAAGAAUAUAAAAAGUAAAUUUAAGGAAAAAAAGGCGGAUUCACCGAAGUUGCAACAGUUGCAACGUACCAGGAUUUUUGUCUUUUUGUGACUUCAGCUCUUCACCGUCCGAUUUAAUGAAAAAGCAGCGUCUAUGGUAAGGAUGUGUCUGUUUGGUAAUUAACGUUACGGUCCCUAUUUUUUUGAAAAUUCAACAAAGUUAAAGAGUUACAGCUUUUAAUGCACAAGUCUGAAUUAUCUCAAAAUUGUAAAUAAUUAGACAAUUAAAAUUAGGAGAAAUUUCAUUAACAUUUUCAUUGUUAAAAAUAAAAAAUAAAUAAAUUUAAUUUGUGAAUAAAAUUAAAAUUUAAAAUAUUAAAAAUUAUUUCAAAAAUCAUUUCCAAUUUCUUCAUCUUAUCCAUCUCAUGUGCCAUGAAGUGGAACCGAAAGUAAUUACAACAAAUAAUCAUAGAAUGAAAUAAUAGAUAUCGUCAAUUUAAGUUAGUAAAGCAUUAACCAAUUACUCCUUUCGUUAGCCUAAACCAUUAAUUUGGUUUAGUACCUAGAGGCUGGAACUUCAACAUAAAAUAAUUAAAAAAAUGUAAUUCCAGAUUAUUAAUUUAAGUUUCAACCUAAAUUGUAGUGAAAUUUCCCAGUUAUUACUAUUUUUUAUGAUGUUAUAUUAGUAUGUCAAUAUUUAAUAUUCAAAAUAGUAAGAAUAUGUUUAACAUAUUAACAUUUACAAAAGAGUAGAAGAAUAAAAUUCAUAAUUAUGAUACUUCAAUUCUAAUCAAAUUAUAUUGAUAUGCAUUAAUUCAAUAAGCCUAUACACCUAAAUAAGCUAAAUACUAGGAGCUUUACUAUUCCUAAGUUAUACAUUGUAGAUUAUUAUAACAGUCAUAGAUUAUUAUAACUUUUUUAAUUAACAUAACAUUCUCAAACAGUUAAUUAAAACUCUUUUGCCAAUUAAAGUUGGUAGAAAAAAUCGAAUCCCAAAUCCCGUACCAAAUGGUACAUGAUACGGUAUAUGACUUAAAAAAUAUUUAAAAUAAAUAGAAAUUUGAGAUUAAAUUUAUUCUCAUUAAAACUCGGGACUAGUCAGGACUUCAAUUGGGAUCCCGAUGGAAUCCUAAUUAUACCAAAUUAUUUUAAUUUUCUAAUUUAAUUAAAAUGUUAAAAAAAUCAUGCACAGCUUUUAGCUUUUAGUUAUACACGAUUGCAGAGAAUUCAUGGUCCCAAUUUGAAAUGAACAAAUUAAAUUAAUGUGUAAUAAUAAUAAUGAAUACCGUAUAGUCGCUAUUCAAUGACUGCAAAAAAUAAUGGUCCCAAAUUGAAGAUUGGUAGUUUGCUAAUCUCCUGUCACCUGUUAAAUUAUAAUAUUUGGCGCUGACAAGGCAUGGGACUGGCUUAUUUUUGGCAAUGAUUCUGAUGGCUGCUUUAUUUGUUGCAAGAGGAAGACAUUUGAAACCAUUUACAGUGGUAAACAAGGUUGAGGGAUUAAUGCAAGAAGACAUUGGAUAUACAGAUGUAGAGUAAGCUAGCUUACAGUUAUACUUGGCAAAGAUAUUUUUCUCCAUUUCCUUUGAGAUCAAUUUCAAAACGAAAGAGUUCAGCAGCUUUGCACGAAAACUCUGGAACACUAGUGAUUAAGCACUUGCGAUUAAACAAUUGUUUGUUAAUGUUUACACAGUGCGACAGAGGAGCCUGCCACCUCACUACACGUUAGUGUAGCACAUGAGAAACCUCCGUUUGAAAAAUUAGACUAGUUGGUAGCGGCCGUGCCCGGGAAGCCUCUCUUCUUUGACACAAUAUGACACAAAUUAUUAACAAUCAAAUCACAAUUUUGAUAAGUUUCGUGAAAUAUAAAAAUAAUAGAAAUACAGAUGAUUAAAAAUUUGUUAAAG